AACGAACGCUGGCGGCAUGCCUAACACAUGCAAGUCGAACGAGAUCUUCGGGUCUAGUGGCGCACGGGUGCGUAACGCGUGGGAAUCUGCCCUUUGGUUCGGAAUAACAGUUGGAAACGACUGCUAAUACCGGAUGAUGACGAAAGUCCAAAGAUUUAUCGCCAGAGGAUGAGCCCGCGUAGGAUUAGCUAGUUGGUGUGGUAAAGGCGCACCAAGGCGACGAUCCUUAGCUGGUCUGAGAGGAUGAUCAGCCACACUGGGACGGAGACACGGCCCAGACUCCUACGGGAGGCAGCAGUGGGGAAUAUUGGACAAUGGGCGAAAGCCUGAUCCAGCAAUGCCGCGUGAGUGAUGAAGGCCUUAGGGUUGUAAAGCACUUUUACCCGGGAUGAUAAUGACAGUACCGGGAGAAUAAGCUCCGGCUAACUCCGUGCCAGCCGCCGCAGUAACAC
rnacentral:rRNA from 1 species